rnacentral:rRNA from 1 species
CAAACCGACACAGGUGGUCAGGUAGAGAAUACCAAGGCGCUUGAGAGAACUCGGGUGAAGGAACUAGGCAAAAUGGUGCCGUAACUUCGGGAGAAGGCACGCUGAUAUGUAGGUGAAGCGACUUGCUCGUGGAGCUGAAAUCAGUCGAAGAUACCAGCUGGCUGCAACUGUUUAUUAAAAACACAGCACUGUGCAAACACGAAAGUGGACGUAUACGGUGUGACGCCUGCCCGGUGCCGGAAGGUUAAUUGAUGGGGUUAGCGGUAACGCGAAGCUCUUGAUCGAAGCCCCGGUAAACGGCGGCCGUAACUAUAACGGUCCUAAGGUAGCGAAAUUCCUUGUCGGGUAAGUUCCGACCUGCACGAAUGGCGUAAUGAUGGCCAGGCUGUCUCCACCCGAGACUCAGUGAAAUUGAACUCGCUGUGAAGAUGCAGUGUACCCGCGGCAAGACGGAAAGACCCCGUGAACCUUUACUAUAGCUUGACACUGAACAUUGAGCCUUGAUGUGUAGGAUAGGUGGGAGGCUUUGAAGUGUGGACGCCAGUCUGCAUGGAGCCGACCUUGAAAUACCACCCUUUAAUGUUUGAUGUUCUAACGUUGGCCCCUGAUCGGGGUUGCGGACAGUGUCUGGUGGGUAGUUUGACUGGGGCGGUCUCCUCCUAAAGAGUAACGGAGGAGCACGAAGGUUGGCUAAUCCUGGUCGGACAUCAGGAGGUUAGUGCAAUGGCAUAAGCCAGCUUGACUGCGAGCGUGACGGCGCGAGCAGGUGCGAAAGCAGGUCAUAGUGAUCCGGUGGUUCUGAAUGGAAGGGCCAUCGCUCAACGGAUAAAAGGUACUCCGGGGAUAACAGGCUGAUACCGCCCAAGAGUUCAUAUCGACGGCGGUGUUUGGCACCUCGAUGUCGGCUCAUCACAUCCUGGGGCUGAAGUAGGUCCCAAGGGUAUGGCUGUUCGCCAUUUAAAGUGGUACGCGAGCUGGGUUUAGAACGUCGUGAGACAGUUCGGUCCCUAUCUGCCGUGGGCGCUGGAGAACUGAGGGGGGCUGCUCCUAGUACGAGAGGACCGGAGUGGACGCAUCACUGGUGUUCGGGUUGUCAUGCCAAUGGCACUGCCCGGUAGCUAAAUGCGGAAGAGAUAAGUGCUGAAAGCAUCUAAGCACGAAACUUGCCCCGAGAUGAGUUCUCCCUGAGACUUUAAGUCUCCUGAAGGAACGUUGAAGACGACGACGUUGAUAGGCCGGGUGUGUAAGCGCAGCGAUGCGUUGAGCUAACCGGUACUAAUGAACCGUGAGGCUUAACCUUACAACGCCGAAGGUGUUU